rnacentral:rRNA from 1 species
UACGUAGGGUGCAAGCGUUGUCCGGAAUUAUUGGGCGUAAAGAGCUCGUAGGCGGUUUGUCGCGUCGGCUGUGAAAACCUGGGGCUUAACUCCGGGCCUGCAGCCGAUACGGGCAGACUUGAGUACUGCAGGGGAGACUGGAAUUCCUGGUGUAGCGGUGGAAUGCGCAGAUAUCAGGAGGAACACCGGUGGCGAAGGCGGGU